rnacentral:rRNA from 1 species
AACGAACGCUGGCGGCAUGCCUAACACAUGCAAGUCGAACGAGACCUUCGGGUCUAGUGGCGCACGGGUGCGUAACGCGUGGGAACCUGCCCUUAUGUUCGGAAUAACUCCCCGAAAGGGGUGCUAAUACCGGAUAAUGUCUUCGGACCAAAGAUUUAUCGCCUUUGGAUGGGCCCGCGUUGGAUUAGCUAGUUGGUAGGGUAAAAGCCUACCAAGGCGACGAUCAAUAGGUGGUCUGAGAGGAUGAUCAGCCACACUGGGACUGAGACACGGCCCAGACUCCUACGGGAGGCAGCAGUGGGGAAUAUUGGAAAGUGGGCGAAAGCCUGAUCCAGCAAUGCCGCGUGAGUGAUGAAGGCCUUAGGGUUGUAAAGCGCUUUUACCCGGGAUGAUAAUGACAGUACCGGGAGAAUAAGCCCCGGCUAACUCCGUG